rnacentral:lncRNA from 1 species
UCCACUACAACAUGCAAAAAUGUGUUAGAGGGCACACACAAGGACUUCUAUAUCCACAUAUGAUCAUAAAGAUGUGUAGGAGGGUCGGUGUUGUGAUAGAUCCCGAGGAAUCGACUUGACCACAAAAGCGUGUUCUAAACGAUAUUAUUUUCGAGUGGUUCUGUAAUCAACAUACAAUUCGAGUGGAAAGGAAGAAUGAACAAGUAGUUACACAUCGGGAUUACCCUAGAGACCAUGGGAUUUCGAAACCAAUGGAAGAUUCCUGACCUGGCAAACCCGAUGAAUAAGGAAAUUCUCAUGUAGAUAUUGACCCAUGUCGAGUGCCAAACAAGGUGGAUGGCCUGUUCUGCUAAGCUAUCAGGCGUAAUCGACUUCCGAUGGCCCUAUUUUUGGACCAACCCAACGGAUGUAGAUCAUUCAAUACCACCACAAAGUGGUAGUGUAUGAUCUAGACCACAAGAAAGAGGGAUCCCCAUCUGCGACAUACCUGACGCCACCCAAGUAAUAUAAGAAGGACCAUCCACAUCAAGAAGGAAAGAGAUGAGGGUCGUCUUAGACGAGAAUGAUGCGAUCUAAGACAAGUUCA